AAGCUGAGACCUGAAGAUGAGAAGGAGUUAGCCAGGGGAAGGCAGAGACAAUAGCAUGUGCCAAAGAAGAACUCCCUCCUCACCAUGGGAGGAAUAUACUUCCUCACUUGUUGAUAUCGGACUUAGCCAUGUGACUUGCUUUGGCCAAAAGAAUAUGUGUGGAAAUGACAGAGGCCAGCUCCAAGACACCGAGUGCUUCCAUUUACCCUUCUUGAGCAACUGUCCUUGGCCUUGAGAAUCACGAGUACCCAACAGGGGGGCUCUUUCAGCCUGGAUUCAGAAUGGAAGAUGCAUGAAGCCGCCCUGCACUCCACCUGGAGCCUGGAGCCCCACCUGCCCAGCCCAGCCCAGUUGAGCCCUGAUAAACCCUAGCUGACCCACAGACUUCUGGCAGGGGAGGCUGUCCUGGAAGGGAACCCCAGCAGGUCACUGUUGAGAGUUUGUUGGCUGUCUGCUCGGCAGGAGUGCUCCAGUCCCUCUGUCAUUCCCUAGGACUCAACCUGACUACUAUGGGACUGGGCAAGACCCCUCCCAGUUUCAGUUGCUGUUCUCAAAUUGUCCCUCCACAUGUUCCGGUGAGUACUUCCUGGCUGUUUUUCUCUUCUCAGGUCCAUCACACACCCCAUUGCUUCCCUAUGCUGGCUGGUGGUGGGGCGUCAAAGGCCAGAGGCCAAACUGAGAACAGCCUGGGUCGGGGGGUCCCAGGCCAUCUGAUGACAUGCAGAUGGCUACCGCGGGUUGUGCGCCCCUCCCCCCAUUUCGGUGUUCAUGAGGAUACCCAGGUUGGCUAAUUUUUAAAGCUAAUGUUGUCUGUGAGUUUUCCUUUUUGCCAGUUUUCCCUGUUUAUUUUUAUGUGGGAAUUGGAAGAGAUUUAAAAAAAUGAUGCAUUGCUACUAUCUCCCCAGCCAGUUCACUAUUUUUGAUGCCAGGACCCAUCCUGGGCCAUAGGGAAGAUAAGAAAUACUCAGUGUGUGUAAAUGUGUGUAAGGUUCCUGGCCAUCGUAAGCGUCCUGUAAACGAGCUGCUCCUCCCUUCUGCUGCCCUGCAACCCUGUCUGACCGUCUCAUGUAACUCAUGCAGGUUUGACUUCUGGUCCUUGUGCCAGGCUCAGAGGAUGGGGCCUGAGGUGGUGUAGGCCCCCAAACCGACUGCCCUGUGGCUGAGUGACCCUUGGACUUUAUGCUCUUGCCUUGCCCUACUGGGACCCCUCUGGGCAUUUCCUCCUAGAGCAGGAUUUGGAGAAGAGAAGAAGGUAAAGACCGCUUCUACCCCCGCACCCCCAUAAAAGGGGUGGUCCAGGCGGCUGAGAAGCCAGCUGUGAGCCUGCCGCGCCACCUGCUGGCUAUUUGUUUAAUUGCAGACAGGAGCGCCGUGCCCUCUCUCCACUCAAGUCAAUGAGGUGAGUUAAUCCUUUCUCCCCCUAGUUGGAAAAAAUGUAUUUAUGUUAAAACGAUGACCAUAAGGGGAAUUAGAAAGUUUUUCCACAUGCUUCCACUGCUUAGACAAGCAUGACUUUAACAAAUAAAGCCUAUAUUUACUCUAAGGGGGCUGGGCUGGUGUGUCCUGCCCUUCUGGUUCCUGAAAAGGGGUCCAGAGACCCCCGGGGCAUUUACACUAGCAACGAGGAGAGAAGGAGCUCAGUUUCUGCAGCCUGAAAGAUUUGGGUUUGAAUUCCCUUCACCAGUCACAAUCUGGCGGGGGCGGGGGGAGUAGAAGUGAAUUCACCUGGUUUUGAAUCUGUCUGUGCUAGGUGCGUUAGCACCCUCUGUGUCCUCCACCCCGCAAUCCCCAAAAGAUGUCCACGUCCUAAUCCCCGGAACCUGUGAGUAUGUUACCUCCCGUGGAAAAAAGGGCUUUGCAGAUGUGAUUAAGGUUGCAGAACUUGAGACGGGGAGAUUACCCUGGGCCCAACCUAAUCACACGGCCUUAAAAGCAGAGAACCCUUCCUGGCGUCAGUCAGAGCCAUGGGGCAUUGCCGGCUUUGAAGAUGGAGACCAGGGCCAUGAGCCAAGGAACGCGGGCAGCCUCUAGAAGCCGGACAAGGCAAGGAGACAGAUACUCCACAAGAGCCCCCGGAAGGAACCAGCCCUGCCGACACCUUGAUUUUAGCCUGUGGGACCCGUGUUGGAUUUCUGAC